AAAUACCCAAAAUAGAAAUAAGUUAUUACCGAAAAUCAGUUAUGGAAGGUUUUAAAUUUUUAAAAAUUGUUUUCCACAACAUGUAGAACAUAUAUUUUACAUUCUACAGUUUUUUAGAAUAUAUUUUCUACACAUUUCUCUACAAUCUACGAAACCUAGAAUUGAUGUUCUACAUGUUAUUCUUCAUUCUACUAGUCAUAUCGAAUAUGUUUUCUACAAACUCUUCAGCGUUCUACAAUCACUAGAAUACAAGUUAUACAUUUUUCAUUACGAUCUACAUUUUACUAGAAUGUAAAUUCUACUAAUCCUUCUUUGUUCUAUGUAAUGUAGAAUAUGUUCUUAUCCACCAAACUGAAUAUUUUCCAACUUUUUUAUUGGAAUUUUUUUAUAUUUUUUCUGAUUUAUCCCGUCAUCUGGUCCAAUCGUUCUCGUCUGUCUGCUUGGGCUGGAUUGUGCUCGCAGGAUGGAUAGAUCGAUUCAGUGAUAGGAUCGAUCGAUCUCUUGUUUUUCUACACUUGCUUCAUUUGCUCACCAAAUUAGACUAUUUUCAUGAAAAUUGGCAUAAUGUUUUAUUGCACCGUUAGAACUACCUCAAGCCACUUUCAAAUGACGAAAGCUAGUCUAUUUAUCUAUCUGGUAUCUAAAUUUUAGAUUGAUCCAUCGGUAUAAACUUCUUCAAAGAGAGCCAAAUUUCUGACAUAUUUGGAAAACUUCUAACGAGUGACGUGUGUGUUCAUAAAACAAAGUAGUCAGAAUAUUUUUUGCCGUGGAGUGGAGACAAAAAUUUUUCUUUUUAUUUUGUUGAUUUUUUAUUGAUUUUUAAUUGUUUUAUGUUCAAGGUGAAUAUCAAAAUGUUUUUUAAAAAAUUACUAGAAUAAAAUUUUAAGGAUAAUUUUGGGUUUCAAUAAAAAUAAAUUUUAGACGGACAAUAUCUCAGAUAAUAAAUCCUAAAAGGACAAAUAGUUUGAAUUUUUUUCUUAAAUAUCUAAUUAAAAUAAGGGAGAACGUUAGAAUUCUGCAUAAGUAACAGUUUAAAACACAGUUUGUUUUUUUUUUUCUUUAAAGUAUUGAUACACAAGUUUUACUUCUGAUAAGGGUUUCCAUUUUCUGUUGUUUCUUUAUCUCUACAGGAUUUAUAUUUUCGAUAUCUUUCCCUUUUAGGCUUGGUGUUAUUCUCUCUUUUUUUUUUUUUUUGAAUUCAACUUGGUGUCAUUCUGUUACGAGGGCUUUAGGAUUUAUCAAAAGAGAAGUGAUCCUCUUUUAUUAUAAACUAGAUUUUGCACCUAUACUAUGCGUGGAUAAUCUUUUUCAAUGCUAUUAUAUUAACAAAAAUCUUAUUCAAGUAGUUAUGUUUAUUUAUAUUUUUGUUUGCAUGUAUUGGCGAUACUAAUAAAAUAUAUUAAAAAUACUUCAGUUUUAAUUUUAGAAUUUAUAUCUAUUUUUGAAGUUUUAACAGUCUUGUUUGAAUAGAUAUAUAUAUAUAUAUGUUGUUAAAAAAUAUAUUAUUUUGUCGAACGCUUAAAAGUCUGUAUACCAAAAACCAACCCAAAACCAAAAUGUAACAAACUAAUUAAAUGAUAUUUAAUUAGUAUUGACACAAAGAUAAAUUACUAUACAUCACUUAUUCAAUGAAAAAAAUAAGUUACAUCCUCGUUAUAUAUAUUUUUUUAUGAAAAAGUAGUAAUGUGAAUUAAAUUUUUGGUAUAUAUUUAAGUAUAUUUAACAAAUUUAUUGUCACCCUUAAAUUUAUGUUUAGACCACCAGUUAUCUCCACAUAUUAAUAUAUGUGUUGUACUUUAUGUUAUAGUAAAUAUAUUUUAGUUUGUUUUAUAUUUUAAACUCAUGUAAAUUUUCUUUAAAUCUUUUACUGCUUAUAGGUUAGUAUAACAAAAAUAACUAAAAAUUGUAACAAAAUAAUCAAAUGCUAUUAAAUAAAAAAUAGUAUUGACAUGAAAUAAAUUAGUAUAUGUUAUCUCUUCCAAUCAAAGAAAUUAUUUUUUUUUUCAUCAUCUUCAAUUUCAUACUCUUUAUAUCACUUUCUAGGAAACCAAAAAAAAAAAAAGGUUAAAAUUUACUUUUGUUUCUUAAUUGAUUUCAUAUUAUUUUAUAUCUGAGAAAAUUGGUAUUCACAUGGUCUAUUUCUCUUUAUUGUUGUCGUCCUUUUUAAUCUAUGGUUGAAUUUUAUCUCAAAUCAUUUCUUAUUCUUUUUAUAUUUCAUCAGACCAUAGUUUUGAUCAAGAAGACAAGUAAGUAGGCAAAACAACUCAAAACAAAGAAUUCUUACACUAAUCUAUAACAUAGUUCAUGUUCUGAUUGAAUGAAUCAUUGUUUAUGAAUGAUUGUUGUGAAUGUUCUGGAAAACGAUCCCUUAAUCAUGUCAAUUUCAAAUCCGAAUCCUCCAACCAUCGAUUCUCCGUUUGCAAUUUCCACUUUACCAAAAUCAAAAAGCCGUUCUUCCUCAUCUAGUAUCAAUUCUCUCUACGAAAUUGAAUACGUCCCUGGAGAUCAGCUACCCCAAACCACACUCCCUCUUGUUAAUCCAUAUGAAUACUUUGCCAAAAAGCCUAGUGCUUUCUCGGUUAAAGGUGUUCGAGAACUCAUCAAGCCAUCUUCCAAUCGAAAAGUCAUGGAAUAUGUCCAGUCCAGCAAAUUCUCAUCCUGCCAAGUCCCAGCAACCGAAGAAGAACAAUUCAUCUCGCUCAACAUACCGGAGAACCUUCCUAGGUUAUGGCAACAACAAGGAUAUACUCACUUACACUUUGGUGUAGUCCGGAUCGGUUUGACCUUACAUGCUCGAAAAGGUCUACCUGUUGUAGCAAGAAUCGCCUUGGUCGAUUCAAGACUAAAAUCCUACCAACAAGCUUGCAUCGGAACAGUCCAAACAACAUUAAACGCCGGAACAGUAUUCGUGACACUGUUUCCAAACUUUAAUGUCUCGCUACAAGAUCCAAAUCUUCUGAAGACACUCAAGGUUCAACUUCAGCUCACCGGAGCUCCUAUGCAAGAGAAAAGUGUCGUGGCGACCCUUCAUCAUCAGAUAGUCUACCGAAUCCAAGAUCAUGCCUUAGAUGUUGUACUACCCUCUUCUGAUGAUGCACUUUACCUAGAAGUCACUUCAGCAUCUCAAGCACCAAACUCCAUCCAGAUUCCUCGUCAAAUAUCUCGCGAAGAGCUGCUCCGCCGACUACCAGAAUCAUGGAUCACCAGCUACGAGAAGCUGCAUCAAGCGGUUCAAACACCGAUUCAAUCCUCUGAAGUCAGCUUUCAUUCACGAAAUGAUGGUACAACCGAAAUCAAGUUCGAAAAACCAAGAUCAUCCUCAUUCCGCAAACAACUGUUCACUCAAUUUGCUAUCCAAAUUGACAAAAGCGAAUUCUAUUGUCCAGCAAAAGAACAAAAUCCUAAACCAAUCUCUUUUGGACAGAAUGGAUCGGUACUAUAUCCUUUCAAAGAUGAAGAUGGACAUCAAUAUUUCGAUAUUCGUUCCUGCUCAGCAUGUGAAGAAGCCAACUACGAAUCUGAUGACGAGAUUCACACAAGGAGAAGAAAGAAAAAGGAUCCACUCUACAAAAGAUAUCUAGAAGGAGAUCCCACCGUCGGUCCUCUCGGUGAAGGUAACGGGCGAUACGACUUUAUAGUCCAAUAUUCGGAAAAGAAAGAUGAAGAUCAAAUCAUGAUGAUCAACACCGAAGACCUCCCUCCUUCAAGCAACUUUUCCAAGGACAACAUCGCACAUAGCCCGAAGAUACUCACUCGAGCAAUCAACUCUUCUGGACCAGAUCAACUAAGCCAAGGAGAAAAAGUCCUCAACUGGCAAACUGAGAAUGCCAUCGCUCAAAAUCAACUCCUCAAAACAAUAAAUUACAAGGUUGAUCAGCUGACGGAAAAUUACAUCAAAAGGCAAACUAGCCUUCAGAGCUCAAUAACAGAGAUCCAUGGCCGGCUUAACAAUCUUCAUCAAGAAAUGAUGGCUAUGGCACAAAAUAUGAUGGUUAAUACAGCACAAUUCCGUCAUAAAGAAGCAGAAACAGCCAGUCUCAAAGCCUAGUUAAAAGAUCUUCAAAGAAGCCUCGAGAGUAUGAUUUACAAUCAGAAUCCUGCGAGUUCUUAUUCCAAUCCUUUUGGUGGAAUGCCUAUGUACCAAGGCACCUACUCCCCAGGAUUUCUCUCCGGCUAUACGAAUCAAUGACCAAAAACACCGGCCCCCGGAUUCCUAUCAUCUGACGAAGCAUUUACGUCAAGAUAUGGCAUGACCUCAGCUAUCAAGCCAAAGGUGUCAAAAUCAAAACCAAGACGACAGAAGGAUUCUGAGUUUAUGAUCAAUCCUACCAAACGACCAACACUUACUUCUUCGUCAAGCCAUGAAUCAGUGGAAGAUUCAAAAAGAGAAGGAAAAGAAAUUGGUAUAAUUGAAUUCUCUAUGGCUAGUCUAUUGGAUACUAUUGGACAGAUUUCUACUUCUCAAACAGCCACGGAGAUGCCGCAAACACAGCCUUCUCAACAAAUUGCAACACCAAUUGCAAAUAUCGAUCAUUAUUCGGAGACUAAUUCUAACAGUUCCGAAUCAGCUUCGGAUGAAGAAUCUCUCCCAAACCAAUUUGCCAUAGGCAACGAAAGAGGCGAACCAUCACCUCCAAAACGAGAACCUGAUAUACAUGAAAUCUUUUCAAGCGAUGAAGAUAUGGAGUACAGGCCUCCCAGGCAGCAAGAAAUACCAACAAGACCAUUUGCCUCUAAAGUCAUGGUCUUCACGUUUGAUGACAUUCCUUUCGAAAAAUGGAAUGAUCGUCUCGAUGAAUUUCAUGCAUGGAUGAAUUCUGAAGCAAUCACGUCUCCCUUAGAGCUUGUAAUUCAGCAGUUUACGGCGCGACUAUCUGGAGCACUCAAAGAAUGCUGGAAUUCACUUGGUGAAUACAGACAGCAGCAAGUCUAUCAAACGACAAUACCACUACUUCUCGGAGAAAUUCAUAGAGAAUUUAUCGGUACACCUACACAUUUGAAAGAACAGCUUCAAGAAGAAUUCUUUACUGCAAAAUGCUGCUCAUUGAAGAAAAGAGACCUAGCUAAGCAUUUUGAGCGACAGACGCGACGUUAUUACGCUCUUAAUGGUCUCAACAAUCCAAGCCUUAAGCAGGUGCAUCUCUCUUCGAUUGAUGACUACCUCAGUCAACAAACGAAGCUAUACAUAAGAGAUCAAGGCCAGACACUGGAAGAUAUUUCCAUUGGCCAAAUACAGCAAUAUGUCUUCCGAACACUAGACAAACUCUGCAAGCAAAAGGAGUUUUGGAUGGAAUUCAUGGAUAAAUCAAAGCAACUAUCCAGGAUCUGUGCAAGACCAGAUCUAUCCAUCAAAUGUUCAAAAUCCAAGAAGACAUGUUCGUGUGAUGAUCGUAGCAAAUCACGGAGAUUCAGAAAAACGUCUCACAAGCGUUUCAACAAGUUCAGACGCAAGUGAUUUUUCAGAAAGAAACGAAGCUUCAAGAAAACAACGAAGUGUUUCCUAUGUCGCAAAGAAGGUCACUUCGCAAAAAACUGCCCAAACAAGUCGAAGAAAAAGAAGCAGUACUUAAUCAGCUCAAUCUCGAAGAUCGCACCAGACCUCGAUUUCGACAGCCACGAUUUAGAAUCAGUACUAUCCUAUGAUAGUGAUGAACAAGAUGCCAUAUGUGGAUACUCGGAUUAUGACUACUCAUCCGACUCCUCCUCAGGAGAAGAAGAAGUCAAUAACGACCGCUGUUUUAAAAUCACUCGUAUGCCGCAAAAAGAAGAAAUUCAAACACCACAUCUGCCAGUUAUGAUAUUUGAUCCAUCACAAAAAGAGAAGCCAGUUCAUGCAAUUGCGUUCAUCGACACAGGAGCAUAUACGACGAUAAUGAACCCUAAAAUUCUCCCGACUUCUAUGUGGCUACCACAUCAACAAGAAUUUCGAGUGGCAAACUCGGGUUCAUUGACGGUCAAUCUCAAAUCCAAACCGGUGACGAUCGAACUUUUCCCAGGCUGUCAGAUUACGACAGAAGUGCUUGGAUCCUCAGCACCAGGAAAAGAUUUGAUAUUAGGAUGGGAUUCCUAUCGCACCUUCAAGAAGAAUUUUGAUAUAUCUAUUGAGACACGAGGAAUGAGAUGGAAGGCUUUCUACAAAGCUUUUACAACAAUCCCACGUCUAUUCACGGUCGAAGGAGUCAUAUCUCAAGAUUUCGAGAAAAUCAAAGAAGAGAUCGCAAUAGUCUCAUGUGCAGACUCUCACACAGACUUCCUUCAAAAAUGUGACAAACCGUUAUAGCUGAAUUCAGAAUUCUUCGUCUUUCUACCUUUCAAGGAAAAUGUCCAUACCACUCCGACAAAAGCAAGUCACGCAGGCAUGCCGCCAACAUUAUUGAUACAAGCAAAUGAAGAAUGUGACCAACUAGUGAAACAAGGAGUUGUCUCAUCAACAAAUUCACCUUGGGCAUGUAAAACAUUCUAUGUGAACAACCGAGCAGAACAAGCAAGAGGAAAACUCAGACUGGUAAUUGAUUACAAACCACUGAACCGAUAUCUACAAGACGUCAAGUUUCCUCUACCAAACAAGAAGGUACUCCUUCAACACCUACAAGGAGCCACCAUAUUUUCCAAGUUUGAUUUAAAGUCUGGUUUCUGGCAACUUGGUGUUCAUCCUGAUGAAAGAUACAAAACAGCUUUCUGCCUACCCAACAGACAUCUCCAAUGGAAUGUUCUACCUUUCGGAUUAAAGAUAGCGCCAUCGCUAUUUCAGCAAGCGAUGCUUCGUAUAUUUAAGCCUCUUCUCCACACGGCUUUAAUAUACAUCGACGAUAUUUUGUUAUUCUCAACAAGCGAAGAAAAUCAUAUUCGGUCUCUCCGACAAUUUCAAGGCAUAGUUGAAGAAUAUGGAAUUAUGCUCUCGGCCCGAAAGAUGAUGAUAGCCCAGCCCAACAUCGACUUCCUUGGAAUGCAAAUCACAGAAGGAAAAUUCACACCGCAAGCCCAUUUAGCUACAGCACUCCUCGAUUUUCCCGACGAAAAUCUCACGCGGAGACAAAUCCAACAAUUCCUUGGGGUAAUUAAUUACAUCAGCGACUUUAUUCCGCAACUUUCGUAAAUGACUAGACCACUCCAGAAGAUGUUGACAAAGAAUCCACCCACGUGGGCUACCUAACAAACCGAAGCAGUCAAAAGCCUAAAAAAGGAGAUACAGAAGCUACCACCUUUAAAGAUUCUCUCUACAGGCCUACGAAUACUGCAGACUGGCGCAAGUGACAAAUAUUGGGGAGCCAUUUUAUUCGAAGAAAUAAAUGGUAAACGUCAAAUCUGUGGAUACAAGAGCGGACGCUUUAAAGAUUCCGAGAUGCAUUAUCACUCUACAUUCCAAGAAAUCCUAGCGGUCAAAAAGGCUAUCGAGAAAUUCGAGUUUCAUCUGAUAGGACAUAAAUUUCGCAUCGAAAUGGAUAUGUCUUCUUUUCCAAAGAUGUUACAAUUCAAGCAGAAGAUGGUCCCACAUCAACAAUUAUUGCGCUGGAGCGAAUGGUUUUCGAAGUACGACUUCGAAUCCUUCUAUUUAAAGGGUGCGAAGAACACUCUUGCUGACAUGCUCAGUAGAAACCCUCCUAAAGAAGUUCAUAUGAUGGCAAACGCCUCAGCUUCCUCAAGUUCGGAAAAUCAAUACUAUGACUUCGACGCAAACAUGCCUCUCGACGCUCACCAGCUCGUCGACAAGAGGACUUUGCAUGAACAUCUUCAACACAGGAUUUUCAAAUACCAGUCCAUCAUCCUGUCCAAAUACGGAAUCAACUGCCAUUUCAUUGCACCAAUGGGUAUUCACCCUGAUCACCCGUUCGCACAUCUCUACAGGAUCGAGAAUACAGCAAUGCCGGAAGAAGUUCUGUGUUUCCUCUGGUACCUCUGCUCAGUCUACACCAUCGGAAUCACCUUUUAUAUCCAAUGGCUUUAUCAGUACGUCAACGCUGUACAAAACCGAAGAGAUUUCUUCUCCACAUUCUUAGCAUGGUUCGCACCACUGAUUGUUUGGAGCAGAAAACUAAGAAAAUCGGCAAAAGCAACAAGCCUACCAUUCAAGAAACUAAAGAGACAAGGAGGUCUCAAUCCGUUCUUCAAUCCUCACACAAUCUACUUCUUCCAUCGUCCUGUUCAGAUCAACUCCAAAUCCAGCAAAAUUCAUGCAUUACCCACUCUUAUCCAUCACAAUGACUAUCAGAGAGGAGUUCGUCCAGAUUUCAACCUCAGCGAAGUUAGAGCCUACGAAGACUUUCAAACACAUGCAUUCCGUCUCAACAAUGCCAGACAGACCUUCCCAAUUCCUUUCAUUCCAAAUUGGUCGUACUAUCCGAUCGAUUACCAGAUGAGUCUAGACGAAGACGUUAUGUUUUCCAUGUCUAAACAAAACAUAGAAGACAUACCAGUUACUAAGGAGAUCAAGAAGGAGAAGGAACCUUUGUCCCAAGACUGUCCACCAGAAUAUUUCCAGGACGCUCAGCUACCGGAUGACGCGAUGAAUAUCGAUGAAAUUGGAAAAAUGUUCAACAUUGAAAUCAAUGAAGAGACACAUACUGACUACGAAGAGCCUACACCAGGAUAUGAGUGCCCAGGAGAAUACUAUGGAUGCUGCGACAAACAUAUCAUCGAGUUCGAGAUCGACCACUAAAGUACUUAUCUUAAAGGUAUUUAAUUAUGUUUAAUUAUGAGUGUGCUUAAAACCAUGUAAAAUAAAUAAUGAUGUGAGUGUGAUGUAAGCGAUGAUGUAAUCGCAUAAAUAGUAAGUGAUGUAAGCGAUGAUGUAAUCGCAAGGGAAUGAUGUAAGCGCUUAUGUCAGCGCGCACUAUCUCCCACCUAUAAAUAUGUGUGCACCCCCUUGUAAGAAAUCACCUCAGAAUUUCUAAUAAAACCUCUCUCUAGAAUUCUCUCUCUAGAAUGAGUUUCUAAAUACUCUCUAGUUUUCCAGACUUCUCGACAUCUUCAUAAGCCUUGGCUUCUUUCUUUCAGAGUUGCGAUCUGCUCCUCUUCUCUAGUUGAGUCUAGUGGUCUGUCAAUACGACGGUCAAGUCUUGUGGUCUGUCAAUACGACGGUCAAAAGACAGUCGUGGGUUGAGAAUUCCUAACAGUGGGUUGAGCAACUAGAGGCCGGAAGUGCCCGUUAAGCUCCCUUUACUUGGAACUGACCCUCGUCUGUUAAACCGACUUAGUCAAUACGACAUUCCGCGUAGCUUAGUCAAUACNNNNNNNNNNNNNNNNNNNNNNNNNNNNNNNNNNNNNNNNNNNNNNNNNNNNNNNNNNNNNNNNNNNNNNNNNNNNNNNNNNNNNNNNNNNNNNNNNNNNUGCCAAGUCCCAGCAACCGAAGAAGAACAAUUCAUCUCGCUCAACAUACCGGAGAACCUUCCUAGGUUAUGGCAACAACAAGGAUAUACUCACUUACACUUUGGUGUAGUCCGGAUCGGUUUGACCUUACAUGCUCGAAAAGGUCUACCUGUUGUAGCAAGAAUCGCCUUGGUCGAUUCAAGACUAAAAUCCUACCAACAAGCUUGCAUCGGAACAGUCCAAACAACAUUAAACGCCGGAACAGUAUUCGUGACACUGUUUCCAAACUUUAAUGUCUCGCUACAAGAUCCAAAUCUUCUGAAGACACUCAAGGUCCAACUUCAGCUCACCGGAGCUCCUAUGCAAGAGAAAAGUGUCGUGGCGACCCUUCAUCAUCAGAUAGUCUACCGAAUCCAAGAUCAUGCCUUAGAUCUUGUACUACCCUCUUCUGAUGAAGCAGUUUACCUAGAAGUCACUUUAGCAUCUCAAUCACCAAACUCCAUCCAGAUUCCUCGUCAAAUAUCUCGCGAAGAGCUGCUCCGCCGACUACCAGAAUCAUGGAUCACCAGCUACGAGAAGCUGCAUCAAGCGGUUCAAACACCGAUUCAAUCCUCUGAAGUCAGCUUUCAUUCACGAAAUGAUGGUACAACCGAAAUCAAGUUCAAAAAACCAAGAUCAUCCUCAUUCCGCAAACAACUGUUCACUCAAUUUGCUAUCCAAAUUGACGAAAGCGAAUUCUAUAGUCCAGCAAAAGAACAAAAUCCUAAACCAAUCUCUUUUGGACAAAACGGAUCGGUACUAUAUCCUUUCAAAGAUGAAGAUGGACAUCAAUAUUUCGAUAUCUGUUCCUGCUCAGCAUGUGAAGAAACCAACUACGAAUCUGAUGACGAGAUUCGCACAAGGAGAAGAAAGAAAAAGGAUCCACUCUACAAAAGAUAUCUAGAAGGAGAUCCCACCGUCGGUCCUCUCGGUGAAGGUAACGGGCGAUACGACUUUAUAGUCCAAUAUUCGGAAAAGAAAGAUGAAAAUCAAAUCAUGAUGAUCAACACCGAAGACUUCCCUCCUUCAAGCGACUUUACCAAGGACAACAUCGCACAUAGCCCGAAGAUACUCACUCGAGCAAUCAACUCUUCUGGACCAGAUCAACUAAGCCAAGGAGAAAAGGUCCUCAACUGGCAAACUGAGAAUGCCAUCGCUCAAAAUCAACUCCAGAAAACAAUAAAUUACAAGGUUGAUCAGCUGACGGAAAAUUACAUCAAAAGGCAAACUAGCCUUUAGAGCUCAAUAACAGAGAUCCAUGGCCGGCUUAAUAAUCUUCAUCAAGAAAUGAUGGCUAUGACACAAAAUAUGAUGGUUAAUACAGCGGAAUUCCGUCAUAAAGAAGCAGAAACAGCCAGUCUCAAAGCCCAGUUAAAAGAUCUUCAAAGAAGCCUCGAGAGUAUGAUUUACAAUCAGAAUCCUGCGAGUUCUUAUUCCAAUCCUUUUGGUGGAAUGCCUAUGUACCAAGGCACCUACUCCCCAGGAUUUCUCUCCGGCUAUACGAAUCAAAGACCAAAAACACCGGCCCCCGGAUUCCUAUCAUCUGACGAAGCAUUUACGUCAAGAUAUGGCAUGACCCCAGCUAGCAAGCUAAAGGUGUCAAAAUCAAAACCAAGACGACAGAAGGAUUCCGAGUUUAUGGUCAAUCCUACCAAACGACCAACACUUACUUCUUCGUCAAGCCACGAAUCAAUGGAAGAUUCAAAAAGAGAAGGAAAAGAAAUCGGUAUAAUUGAAUUCUCUAUGGCUAGUCUGUUGGAUACUAUUGGACAGACUUCUACUGCUCAAACAGCCACGGAGAUACCGCAAACACAGCCUUCUCAACAAAUUGCAACANNNNNNNNNNNNNNNNNNNNNNNNNNNNNNNNNNNNNNNNNNNNNNNNNNNNNNNNNNNNNNNNNNNNNNNNNNNNNNNNNNNNNNNNNNNNNNNNNNNNUCAGCUUCGGAUGAGAUCUCUCCCAAACCAAUUUGCCAUAGGCGACGAAAGAGGCGAACCAUCAACUCCAAAACGAGAACCUGAUAUACAUGAAAUCUUUUCAAGCGAUGAAGAUAUGGAGUACAGGCCUCCGAGGCAGCAAGAAAUACCAACAAGACCAUUUGCCUCUAAAGUCAUGGUCUUCACGUUUGAUGACAUUCCUUUUGAAUUUGAAAAAUGGAAUGAUCGUCUCGAUGAAUUUCAUGCAUGGAUGAAUUCUGAAGCAAUCACGUCUCCCUUAGAGCUUGUAAUUCAGCAGUUUACGGCGCGACUAUCUGGAGCACUCAAAGAAUGGUGGAAUUCACUUGGUGAAUACAGACAGCAGCAAGUCUAUCAAAUGAUAAUACCGCUACUUCUCGGAGAAAUUCAUAGAGAAUUUAUCGGUACACCUACACAUUUGAAAGAACAGCUUCAAGAAGAAUUCUUUACUGCGAAAUGCUGCUCAUUGAAGAAAAGAGACCUAGCUAAGCAUUUUGAGCGACAGACGCGACGUUAUUACGCUCUUAAUGGUCUCAACAAUCCAAGCCUUAAGAAGGUGCAUCUCUCUUCGAUUGAUGACUACCUCAGUCAACAAACGAAGCUAUACAUAAGAGAUCAAGGUCAGACAGUGGAAGAUAUUUCCAUUGGCCAAAUACAGCAAUAUGUCUUCCGAACACUAGACAAACUCUGCAAGCAAAAGGAGUUUUGGAUGGAAUUCAUGGAUAAAUCAAAGCAACUAUCCAGGAUCUGUGCAAGACCAGAUCUAUCCAUCAAUUGUUCAAAAUCCAAGAAGACAUGUUCGUGUGAUGAUCGUAGGAAAUCAAGGAGAUUCAGAAAACCGUCUCACAAGAUUCAGACGCAAGCGAUUUUUCAGAAAGAAACGAAGCUUCAAGAAAACAACGAAGUGUUUCCUAUGUCGCAAAGAAGGUCACUUCGCAAAAAACUGCCCAAACAAGUCGAAGAAAAAGAAGCAGUACUUAAUCAGCUCAAUCUCGAAGAUCGCACCAGACCUCGAUUUCGACAGCCACGAUUUAGAAUCAGUACUAUCCUAUGACAGUGAUGAACAAGAUGCCAUAUGUGGAUACUCGGAUUAUGACUACUCAUCCGACUCCUCCUCAGGAGAAGAAGAAGUCAAUAACGACUGCUGUUUUAAAAUCACUCGUAUGCCACAAAAAAAAGAAAUUCAAACACCACAUCUGCCAGUUACGAUAUUUGAUCCAUCACAAAAAGAGAAGCCAGUUCAUGCAAUUGCGUUCAUCGACACUGGAGCAUAUACGACGAUAAUGAACCCUAAAAUUCUCCCAUCUUCUAUGUGGCUACCACAUCAACAAGAAUUUCGAGUGGCAAACUCGGGUUCAUUGACGGUCAAUCUCAAAUCCAAACCGGUGACGAUCGAACUUUUCUCAGGCUGUCAGAUUACGACAGAAGUGUUUGGAUCCUCAGCACCAGGAAAAGAUUUGAUAUUAGGAUGGGAUUCCUAUCACACCUUCAAGAAGAAUUUUGAUAUAUCUAUUGAGACACGAGGAAUGAGAUAGAAGGCUUUCUACAAAGCUUUUACAACAAUAUCACGUCUAUUCACGGUCGAAGGAGUCAUAUCUCAAGAUUUCGAGAAAAUCAAAGAAGAGAUCGCAAUAGUCUCAUGUGCAGACUCUCACACAGACUUCCUUAAAAAAUGUGACAAACCGUUAUGGCUGAAUUCAGAAUUCUUCGUCUCUCUACCUUUCAAGGAAAAUGUCCAUACCACUCCGACAAAAGCAAGUCACGCAGGCAUGCCGCCAACAUUAUUGACACAAGCAAAUGAAGAAUGUGACCAACUAGUGAAACAAGGAGUUGUCUCAUCAACAAAUUCACCUUGGGCAUGUAAAGCAUUCUAUGUGAACAACCGGGCAGAACAAACAAGAGGAAACUCAGACUGGUAAUUGAUUAUAAACCACUGAACCGAUAUCUACAGACGUCAAGUUUCCUCUACCAAANNNNNNNNNNNNNNNNNNNNNNNNNNNNNNNNNNNNNNNNNNNNNNNNNNNNNNNNNNNNNNNNNNNNNNNNNNNNNNNNNNNNNNNNNNNNNNNNNNNNNNNNNNNNNNNNNNNNNNNNNNNNNNNNNNNNNNNNNNNNNNNNNNNNNNNNNNNNNNNNNNNNNNNNNNNNNNNNNNNNNNNNNNNNNNNNNNNNNNNNNNNNNNNNNNNNNNNNNNNNNNNNNNNNNNNNNNNNNNNNNNNNNNNNNNNNNNNNNNNNNNNNNNNNNNNNNNNNNNNNNNNNNNNNNNNNNNNNNNNNNNNNNNNNNNNNNNNNNNNNNNNNNNNNNNNNNNNNNNNNNNNNNNNNNNNNNNNNNNNNNNNNNNNNNNNNNNNNNNNNNNNNNNNNNNNNNNNNNNNNNNNNNNNNNNNNNNNNNNNNNNNNNNNNNNNNNNNNNNNNNNNNNNNNNNNNNNNNNNNNNNUCGACUUCCUUGGAAUGCAAAUCACAGAAGGAAAAUUCACACCACAAGCCCAUUUAGCUACAGCACUCCUCGAUUUUCCCGACGAAAAUCUCACGCGGAGACAAAUCCAACAAUUCCUUGGGGUAAUUAAUUACAUCAGCGACUUUAUUCCGCAGCUUUCGCAAAUGACUAGACCACUCCAGAAGAUGUUGACAAAGAAUCCACCCACGUGGGCUACCAAACAAACCGAAGCAGUCAAAAGCCUAAAAAAGGAGAUACAGAAGCUACCACCUUUAAAGAUUCCCUCUACAGGCCUACGAAUACUGCAGACUGACGCAAGUGACAAAUAUUGGGGAGCCAUUUUAUUCGAAGAAAUAAAUGGUAAACGUCAAAUCUGUGGAUACAAGAGCGGACGCUUUAAAGAUUCCGAGAUGCAUUAUCACUCUACAUUCAAAGAAAUCCUAGCGGUCAAAAAGGCUAUCGAGAAAUUCGAGUUUCAUCUGAUAGGACAUAAAUUUCGCAUCGAAAUGGAUAUGUUUUCUUUUCCAAAGAUGUUACAAUUCAAGCAGAAGAUGGUCCCACAUCAACAAUUAUUGCGCUGGAGCGAAUGGUUUUCGAAGUACGACUUCGAAUCCUUUUAUUUAAAGGGUGCGAAGAACACUCUUGCUGACAUGCUCAGUAGAAACCCUCCUAAAGAAGUUCAUAUGAUGGCAAACGCCUUAGCUUCCUCAAAUUCGGAAAAUCAAUACUAUGACUUCGACGCAAACAUGCCUCUCGACGCUCACCAGCUCGUCGACAAGAGGACUCUGCACGAGCAUCUUCAACACAGGAUUUUCAAAUACCAGUCCAUCAUCCUGUCCAAAGUCGAGCCUGUAACCGUUCUGAAUUGUUAACCCUGUUUCUUAUUCUUCAUCCCCUUUACAUAGUCCUUGCAUAGUGACUCUAUCCCUCUCGAACCCAAAUUUUUACCGAAUCGCUUCGGAUCUUAACUGCGUCGACAAAACCAUCUUCUUCCAAAAAAUGCCUCGGUUAACAUUCAUACCAACCAAUGGGAAUUUUUUUAAAUAGAUGAGCGGGGAAAUUAUAGCUUGAUUAAUUCGUUGUUGUUUUUGUUUAUUACUUCUCAAAUAAUCUUUUUUUUUUACGUCUACAAUAAAUUAAACAAAGCUCAUACGUUGAUUUAACCGGUAAAGUGAUUUCAUCUUUAAUGAAAAAAAAAGAAAAAAAGAUUUAAUUUUUUAAUCCGCCAUGAAGCAAAUCAAUCAAAGCCUCCAUUUCGUGUUUCUUGAGUGAGAAGCCAAUCUCCACACCGCCAUUUCCAUCUCUACUCUCCGCCAUAGAAAUCGCUUCGCCUCGAUCGAUCGACACAACCACCACUCUCUCCGGUCUCCCCCACCCGAAAUCCAACCCGUAAACUCCAAACCGGGUCGACCCGGCAACAGAAAGAACCUGCGAUCCAGGUGGAAUCGUCGUAAACGCUGCCAAAACGUCCGGAAUGUUAAACGCCACAGAUUCAUCUAACCCCUCGACCGAAUCGCUAACCAUCCUCGCCGCCGCCAAAAACCCUUCUUCUCCGAAAAACGUCUUCGCCGCUAACGACAUAUUAAACGUCGCCGAAACGCAAUUACCGAAGUAAUUCACCGGAAUCGGCGGAUCCAAGAGGCUCCGACAAUCCACCGCAAACCCGUACCCGACCGGUCUAUUCGGAUCUCCGCCUCGAGCUCUGAUUAAGCAGGAUAACACGUACGAGUACGUGACCACAAACGUCGACAAUCGAAGCUCCUUCGAUGACGACGACGGUGCAGAGGAUUCUCUCUUGAGUCGCUCGCGAAGCGAUUGGAUGUCUUCUAGUGUGAGAUCGAGAGUGAAUCGAGCAACGUCGGGAUUAAUCGCCGGCGACGGAAAAAGUUUUAAGCUUUUGGGGUUUUCUGGUUCUUUGCCUCCGGAGAAGAAUGUUAUCACUGUGUGCCACUGGUUCAGAAUCUUCAUAUCGAUAUCUUUUGGACCUUUGACGACCGUACGAUCAUAAAUCGGGAUUAGAUCCUGCGGUAGAGAAACGUUCGGCGUUUCCUCUUGUUGCCGUUUGCAUGUGUGGGCCCAGGAUUUGAGAAAGUUGGUUGUCGUUUUUCCAUCUAAAACGGCAUGGUGUGCAGUUACGCCGAUGCAAAACCCUUGGUUUGGAAAUAGCGUGGCUUGGAACGACACGGCGGUGGCCGAGUCAUCGGAGAUGGUUAACUCGGGGGCUAAUGGGUACAACUCGGUGGCGGGAAACGGUUUGUUUCCGGUGAAACUAGAGAAAUCGGCGUUGGACUCGGCGAUGGUGAAUGAAACGGCGUCGUUUGGAGUGUAGACGAUGCUCGGCUUUUGUUCGAGCGAGUCCCAGACGAGUUGGCCAGCGAGUGGGAGGUAGUGAGAGAGAGUUGAGGAGAGAGAGGAUUUGAGAUUGGGGACGAUGACUGAGUCGAAGAAAGGACGAGUUGCGUCGGUGAGUCGGUAGAAGAUGACUCGUUGGACGGGGUGGAGUUUGUACCAGAGAAGGUCGAAGAAAGUGAGCGGGAGAGUGAGUGACUCGGACGAGUCAGAAGGAGUGACUCGUGACACUUCGAUGACGUCAAGUGAUGAAUCCAUUUUAUUCUUUCGGAGAUAUUGUGGUGUGAGUUAUCAAAAAAUCGUGAUGAUACUAUCGUAUAUAAGAGAGGUGUGGAGAAAUUCAAUUUUGUCUUUUUUUUUUUUGUUUUCUCAUAUACUCUAUUUACCUUUUAUGAGAACUUUGGAUUUCACAUAAAUAUAGAUAAGAUGUUAACAGUUGACAAAACCAAAAAGAUAGAUGUUAAAAAAGCAAAAAAAAUUAGAGCGAUACAUAUUGAAAUAUGAAUUCAAAGCUAGUCAAUGGUUUAAAGAUGUUCAACGUUAGUAGUAGAUAUUUUCUAUCUUAACCAAUCCAAAAGAGACACCUGAAAACAAUUCACCCUUUAUACAAUUUUUUUCAAGUCAAAACAAAAGACAAGAGGCAUUUUUUCAUUCUAUAUAUACAAAAAUUUGAUUAUAAAAAAAAAUUGUAUCCAAAUUGAUCAACUAUUAAUCGACUUACUAAUAUAUUGGAAAUCAUUUUUUAACAUAAAUUAGUUUUUGUUCCAUACCUAGCACACCAAUUUUUCCUAAUUAAAUAUGAUGUUCGGUUUCGGAUAUUGAACCAUGAUCAAGUACUCCUCGAUCACUGAAAUGAUGAUGUAAAUUAGAAUCGUCUUAUGUUCGGCUAACGUUUUGUGUUUAUUGCGUUUUAUAGCUAUCCGCCUAAUAUUGCAUAAUAUUCGGCAUCAAUUUCCUUGCUUUCUUUGUCGGUAGUAUCUAAACAUAUGCAUUCAAUUAAUAACCAACUUUUUGGAUACUUAAGUUGAGCUACCUUUUCUUAUAGAUAGUAUAUAUAUAAGAUUUGAAAUGGCUGUGAAUUUGGAUGUCAAUUCAUAUAUAUGGCGCUAAUUUAUUGUCCCUUGAGUUUGGUUGAAAAAGAAAUUGAUUACUAAUUGGUCCUAUAUAAAUAAAACAUGAUUAUAUUAAUGUUCUUGGAUCUUUUAAUUAGUCAGAUUAAUUGUAUACCAUCCACAUCCUAGUCUACGUAAAUUACACGCCGAACUUUUUGUUAUGUCAGUGAGAAGAAAAAGAAUAUCACUUAUGCCGAACUAUCCACGUUUCAUGACAAAUCACAUUGUGGUUAGGCCUUAUCAAAUUCGUCUUAGAUCCACCCGAAUAAAAUUUAGGAGUGAUAUGUGAGUCUAUUAGUAUUAGCUAUUUAAGUUUACGUACUUUAUAAAAUAUGAUUUACCUAAUUCUUCCAGAGAACUCGAUUGAAAAAACUUAUUAUCGUAUAUAUAUAUUCCUAGCCUUAACUAUUAAGAUAGCGUGGUAGAAAUAAUACGUACAUUAGUUGGAUUUUGUUUCGGACGUAAAGACGCAACUGCAAUUUAAUGGUAGAGGGUCAUCGAAGAAAAUAGAGUUCAUGACAAAUUUGGAUUCUUUUGAUGUCUUUUUACUUUAGAUUUUUUUCCAUUAUUGUCGUCUUCAUUUUUCUGACGACAUCUUUUCCAUUAUCAGAAAUUUGGAACUAUUUGAUGAAUCUGACGCUAAAUCUAAGAAGAUAUUAUUCAUACAUACUGUUUAUUUUUAAAUAGCUUAACUUAUAAACUUCAGCAGUUAAGUACUUAACUACUCUUUUUGUUUUUGUCGACAAGUACUUAAUUACUCUAAUUCUGUUUUGUGUUGCAUAGUGUUGGUUAUAUUGAAACAAAAUUUACAGUAUUUGAAAUAAUCCAUUUGAUAAAUACUUACUCAAAUAACAAAACAAAAUAGUAAAAAAAAAAAACAAAUGGUAGUAGGCUAGUAAUUUUUACUUAUUGAACAAUUAUUUUGGUGGUUUAGAAUAGGAUUUGAUUCUCUUCUAUUAUGAAACUAUUGAACCAUUUUAUUUAGUUAUUUAAAAUAGUGUUACGUUCGACUUACUGGCUGAAGAGCAAAGAGAUAUCUAUUUUACUAGAUCCAUUUUAAAUUUUAAAUCUAAUAAAUGGAUUAUUCGACUGUUAAACUUACCUUAUAAAAUUUAGUUAAUAGUAAAACUUGGAUUAUUCAUAGUUAUAAAAAAUAGUAAAUAAAAGGGAGAAAAAAUGAAAAGAUAAAUGGAGGAAUAUAUGAAAAGUCGUUUCUGCCGUCUUAAAUUUGGACUUUUAGAUUCAACAAGCAUUCAAUUUUGUACGAUGAAAAAAUUGUCUUUUCUUUUUUUUUUUACUACAAUACAUAUCAUCAUAUAUAUUAUAAGCAAAUCAUCAUAUAUAUUAUAAGCAAAGUAAAAUUUUGAGUUAAAGCUCUCUCAUUCAUUUUUAGGAUAGAUAAUUACUUUUUACCCUUCCUUAUACUUUUUAAAAUUAAAUUUAAUAAAAAUUAUUAAAAAUCAUAAAUUAAUUUAAAAAUUAUUAAAAAUCGUAAAUUAAAUAAAAUAUUAAAAAUCGUAAAUUAAUAAAAAAUUGUUAAAAAUCGAAAUUUAAUCAAAAACAUUUAAAUUUAAUAAAAAAUAUGAAAAAUCGAAAUUUAAUUAAAAAAUAUUUAAAAUAGAAAAUAACGAAAAUUUAAAAAUUGAAAUUUAAUCAAAAAAAAAUUAAAAUCAUAUCAUAUAUAAUAUAUGCAAAGUAAAUUUUUCGCUAUAAGGUCUCUCAUUCAAUCUAGAUAACUAAUUCCCCUUUAUUCGUUAAUAAAAUCUUUUUUAAAUAUCCUUAAUUAAUUAGUUUAUUUUCAUAGUUUGUAUAACAAUUUUGCUGCCACNNNNNNNNNNNNNNNNNNNNNNNNNNNNNNNNNNNNNNNNNNNNNNNNNNNNNNNNNNNNNNNNNNNNNNNNNNNNNNNNNNNNNNNNNNNNNNNNNNNNCGGUAUGUUGAGCGAGAUGAAUUGUUCUUCUUCGGUUGCUGGGACUUGGCAGGAUGAGAAUUUGCUGGACUGGACAUAUUCCAUGACUUUUCGAUUGGAAGAUGGCUUGAUGAGUUCUCGAACACCUUUAACCGAGAAAGCACUAGGCUUUUUGGCAAAGUAUUCAUAUGGAUUAACAAGAGGGAGUGUGGUUUCGGGUAGCUGAUCUCCAGGGACGUAUUCAAUUUCGUAGAGAGAAUUGAUACUAAAUGAGAAAGAACGGCUUUUUGAUUUUGGUAAAGUGGAAAUUGCAAACGGAGAAUCGAUGGUUGGAGGAUUCGGAUUUGAAAUUGACAUGAUUAAGGGAUCGUUUUCCAGAACAUUCACAACAAUCAUUCAUAAACAAUGAUUCAUUCAAUCAGAACAUGAGCCAUGGCUCUGAUACCAUAGUUCUUUAGAAGCGGCUAGCGGAAAGUCGUAUUGACUAAGCUAAGGCUCGCGGAAUGUCGUAUUGACUAAUCAUAACAAUCAUAAGCUGAAUCUAAAAUUUAAUUUCUUAUAUCAUUUCCGAAUUAUGUAUCUUAUGCGACUUUGUGGAUAUAUUUUAUGGACAUGUGGCAAUAAUUAGAUGCUAAUAUAGAUUAUAAUUAUAAUUAUUGGUAAAUACUUUAUGGAAAACCUUAAAAUAAAGUAACUUUAACUUUUAUAAAUAACAUAUAUACAAUAUAAACUUUAUAAAUUAAUACUCGAUAAAUUAAUAAAUACUAUAAAUUUAUAAUUUUUCAUGGUCCCGAAUUGGGUCUGUUAAAAAAAUGACACAAUUCGAUAAAAUAAUAAGAUAAUAACUUUUUG
rnacentral:lncRNA from 1 species